CGUAGGUGAACCUGCGGAGGGAUCAUUACACAAUACAAUAUGAAGGCUGUCCGCAGCUGGAGUAUUUUAUUACCCUUGUCUUUUGCGCACUUGUUGUUUCCUGGGCGGGUUCGCUCGCCACCAGGACCACCAAAUAAACCUUUUUUAUGCAGUUGCAGUCAGCGUCAGUACAAACAAUGUAAAUCAUUUACAACUUUCAACAACGGAUCUCUUGGUUCUGGCAUCGAUGAAGAACGCAGCGAAAUGCGAUACGUAGUGUGAAUUGCAGAAUUCAGUGAAUCAUCGAAUCUUUGAACGCACAUUGCGCCCUUUGGUAUUCCAAAGGGCAUGCCUGUUCGAGCGUCAUUUGUACCCUCAAGCUUUGCUUGGUGUUGGGCGUUUUUGUCUUUGGUCGCCCAAAGACUCGCCUUAAAGUGAUUGGCAGCCGGCCUUUCUGGUUUCGCAGCGCAGCACAUUUUUGCGCUUGCCAUCAGCAAAACGGCAAUCCAUCAAGCCUCCUUCUCACGUUUGACCUCGGAUCAGGUAGGGAUACCCGCUGAACUUAAGCAUAUCAAUAAGCGGA
rnacentral:rRNA from 1 species